GACGAACGCUGGCGGCGUGCCUAAUACAUGCAAGUCGAGCGGGACUCUUCGGAGUCUAGCGGCGGACGGGUGAGUAACACGUGGGCAACCUGCCUGUAAGACUGGGAUAACACCGGGAAACCGGUGCUAAUACCGGAUAAUCCUUUUCCUCUCGUGAGGAAAAGCUGAAAGUCGGUUUCGGCUGACACUUACAGAUGGGCCCGCGGCGCAUUAGCUAGUUGGUGAGGUAACGGCUCACCAAGGCGACGAUGCGUAGCCGACCUGAGAGGGUGAUCGGCCACACUGGGACUGAGACGCGGCCCAGACUCCUACGGGAGGCAGCAGUAGGGAAUCUUCCACAAUGGACGAAAGUCUGAUGGAGCAACGCCGCGUGAGCGAUGAAGGCCUUCGGGUCGUAAAGCUCUGUUGUUAGGGAAGAACAAGUACCGGAGUAACUGCCGGUACCUUGACGGUACCUAACCAGAAAGCACCGGCUAACUACGUGCCAGCAGCCGCUGUAACAC
rnacentral:rRNA from 1 species